rnacentral:rRNA from 1 species
GAUGAACGCUGGCGGCGUGCCUAAUACAUGCAAGUCGAGCGAACAGAUAAGGAGCUUGCUCCUUUGACGUUAGCGGCGGACGGGUGAGUAACACGUGGGUAACCUACCUAUAAGACUGGAAUAACUCCGGGAAACCGGGGCUAAUGCCGGAUAACAUGUUGAACCGCAUGGUUCUACAGUGAAAGGCGGCUUUGCUGUCACUUAUAGAUGGACCCGCGCCGUAUUAGCUAGUUGGUGAGGUAACGGCUCACCAAGGCAACGAUACGUAGCCGACCUGAGAGGGUGAUCGGCCACACAGGAACUGAGACACGGUCCAGACUCCUACGGGAGGCAGCAGUAGGGAAUCUUCCGCAAUGGGCGAAAGCCUGACGGAGCAACGCCGCGUGAGUGAUGAAGGUCUUCGGAUCGUAAAACUCUGUUAUGAGGGAAGAACAAAUGCGUAAGUAACUGUGCGCGUCUUGACGGUACCUAAUCAGAAAGCCACGGCUAACUACGU